UUGCGUCCUGCGACUAAGUAUGCAAAGGGAAGAAAAGAGAGAGAUUGAGGUUUCCCACAAGAAAAAAACUAAGUACUCUUAAUUACUUAGAAAAGGAGGAUUACAACACAUACACUUUUUUGUGUUUUGUCCUUAGCCAUCCAUACAAAUCCAUUAAUUGACAGUUCCUCCUGUAUAUGUGUCUGUUCGUCCUUUCUUCUCUUCUCCUUUCAUCUCUUCUCUCUCCUCCCACUCAUAUCAAAUCUUUACGCCUCGGGAAGGGACACAUCGGAAAGGUAACAAAUCUUUCCUGGGAAAGGUAAUAAAUCUUGCCAAAUCCAUCUUGGGAAAUCUGGGAUCACAGAUUUCUUCAAGAUCUGAAGAAAUCUUCAGUCUUGAGCUUUAUAAAAGGCUGGAGAAAGGAGCUCAAAGGGGGGCGGAUCGCACAGGAUCGGAGAUGGGGGCGGACGGAGCUGUGCGAGUGGAGGUCGUCCACAUCCGGUGCACACACUUCAUAGGUUGCACACAUAAAAAAAAAGUUAAGAGAAGGUAGAAAAAGGAGAGAAGGGCACUAAAAAAAAAACAAACAAAAAGAUUUAAAAAAUAUACAAAUCCAUUAAUUGACAGUUCCUCCUGUAUACGUGUCCGUUCCUUCUUUCUUUUCUUCUCCUUUCAUCUCUUCUCUCUUCUCCCACUCAUAUCAAAUCUUUACGCCUCGGGAAGGUACGCCUCGGGAAGGUACACAUCGGAAAGGUAACAAAUCUUUCCUGGGAAAGGUAAUAAAUCUUCCCAAAUCAAUCUUGGGAAAUCUGGGAUCAUAGAUUUCUUCAAGAUCUGAAGAAAUCUUCAGUCUUGAGCUCUAUAAAAGGCUACAGAGAGGAGCUCGAAGGGGGGCGAAUCGCACAGGACCGGAGAGGGGGGCGGACGGAGCUGUGCGAGUGGAGGUCGUCCACAUCCGGUGCACACACUUCACGGGUUGCACACAAAAAAAAAGUUAAGAGAAGGUAGAAAAAGAAGAGAAGGGCACUAAAAAAAAUAACAAACAAAAAGAUUUAAAAAAUAAAAUAAAAUAAAAAAAGGCUGUGCUUCUCCCCUUAUUAUGUUUGCUGCUGUCGUACCGCCGCUGACGCUGUCGACGCUGCCCCAACACUGACACCGUCCGCUGUUGUGCCCGCCGCCGAUGUCGCCCAAAUUCGCUCGGAGUUACCCCAAUCCGGCGCUGUCCGCUGCCGUGCCCGCACCAACAUCGCCUAACGCCACGCAAGCCACCGCCACUGCCGUACCCGUCGACGUCGGCCCAACGCCGCCGCAGCUGCCGCUGUACCUGUUCACAGGCAACGUCCAAGCUGCCGGGUUUGGCAUCUCCACGGCCGGUUUCGCUAUUACCGCGUCCGAGGUGGUUGCCGUCCAAGCCUCUGACGUCGUUAAAGCUAAGGUUGAAGUUGACAACUUUCAUUGCUUCACGAGCAAGGAGGAAAUUAAUUAAAGGGGUGGAGUGGUCUUUUCUUCUAUUUUUUAUUUGUUGUUGCUAAUAUGUAACCCAUAAUAUGCUUGGGUAAUAAACUAUCAUGUUAUAUAUAUAUGAAAAAAAA
rnacentral:lncRNA from 1 species